GAUUUAAUCCUGGGCAUAGUUUAACGCAAGCUAAAUCUAACCCUCUUCAUUAGUUUUUCAUUCUCCACAUCUCUGUUCGUCUUCUCCACUUCUCCUCUCCACGGCAACAUCAAUCCCCAUCGACAUCACCACCACUCUCGUUGGAAUUUCACAGCCGCCACCCACACUACCACCGGUACCACCUUAUUCUUCAGUUACUUCUUUUUCUUCUACAGGUUACCCAGCUUGAUAUCCACCACUUUUUUCAUUCACUUGGAGCUGGAGUACUUGAAGAAGUUCGUGUCCAACGAGAUAAAGGGUUUGGUUUUGUGAGAUACAGUACCCACGAAGAAGCAGCUAUAGGCAUUCAGUUGGGGAAUGCUAACAUGCUUUAUGGAAAGACAAUUAAGAAGGCAAUUGAAUGUAGGAGGGGGAUGUGAUGCUAAAAAUGAAGGGAACAAACCAUCUCAACAUAUCAAAUCAGAACAUUGAGAUUCUUUUAAAAUGUAAUGGUCGUGGGGAGAUGUCAUUUUUGAGGAGAAAGUCAACAUCUACAACUAUUGAAGUUUAUGGAGGGGUGAACAGUAGAGUGUCAAACCCAUUGAUGAAGAUCAGAUGAUUCAGAUCCACUAUAGUGUCUUUAUAUCUAGAACUGAUUUCUACUUUUAUGUAUUUUUGUAUUAAUUAGAUGGAAUGGAUAAUGUUUUCUAUGAUAUACAGUUUUUAAUGAAUUUAAGUAAUGUUCAUUGGAUUUA